rnacentral:lncRNA from 1 species
AUGGAGCUAGAAAAAUCUGACAGCUCAUUCUAUAUACUUACCUUAAGAAAGUUUUUAAAGCAUGAUUUUAAAUUAAGUGACUUACAUAAUGUUUUCUUUGAAUAUGGGCUAAUCUUUAGGCUACACGUCAUUUUGUUUUGGCGAGCAUUUUGUGUGGAGUUUUGUGUAUCUUCAGAGCAUCCAAACAAGAAGCAGACCCUCCUCACAUUGACGAUGAGAGCUUUGGUCCACAGUACGGUGGGGAUGGUGUGGUGCAGGGUUCAGAAGAAGGACUCUGGGUGUGAUGGACACGUGGGUUGCUUCCAUCUCUUGGCCAUUGAGAAUAGUGCUGCUGUGAACAUAGACAGCAGUGUACUACUGAGCCGUUCCAGACGUCCUCAGGGCUGCCUUGAUGUCACUCUCAGAAGGACGUUUUGGAAGCUCCUUGGGAAGUUUCUACUGAUGAGCCUGUGAUGUUUCAUGGAGUGUCAGUGCUGGGAGAAGGCUGUGCCCAUGCCAGUGUCUUCCCACCACGUGUGUCUUCGGGGAGCAAGAAACCUUCUUUCCAAGAAGUGGCCUGUGCUCUUGUCCUUGUAGGAAGGAGCAGGUGACAUAAAACCUUCGGUGACGUCUGCAUACAGUCUUCCCCUCAGAGUAGUCAGUGAGAAAGAGGGACCCAGACCCUGGAUGUGGCAGAGAACAGUUUAAAUGAACUUCAAGACCCUCAGUGUUUCUUGGCUGAAAAGUGUACUUCUGAGACUGAGCAUCUGGCCCUGGGGCCCUUGGUAAACGUAGAAAGAUGUGGAGGUGGACAUGUUCCCUAAGACCCUCUGCCACAAAUCAUCAGAAAGUCCGAUGAUCCAAGAGAGGAGAGUGGUAAUAGGGCUGUGAUAUAUUCAUGGGAUGGAAUGCUGCCCAGCUGUUAAAAAGCAUCAUGCUUGGGGCAUGGGGCGGUUUGUGUCAUUCAGUUUUAAGUUGAAAAAGUAGAUUGUCAAAUGCUGUAUACAAUUUUAACUCGCUUUUUUGUAAUGUGAAAGACAAGAACCAGAACAACCAUUUUGUGUGGCUUUAAUUUCCACCUUUAUAUUAUGCAAUUUUUCUCUAUAAUAGAAAUAUAUUAGUUUUAUAAGCAGAAAAAAAAAUGUAGGGCUCAAGAUUCCUAUAAACAGCAAACACUAUUAUGCACGGUGGUCCAGAUUAGCUAGCAGUUUAGUGAUACAGCUUCUUUUUUUCCAGGGGACACAGGUGAACCACAUUGUGCAGCCUCACUUGAGCUUGGGUGUGGCUGUGUGACUGUCGCCACAAAUGGGAUGUGAGUGGAAACACUGUGGGCACCUUCCAGACCAGGCCACAAAUACCAUCCUGCGCUGACCGUGUAGACUCCUCCCCUUCCAGGGUUUGACGCAGGUGAACAUGGGGAACACAGAUGCCACAUUUAGGGGACUGAUCCUGGUCUUUGAUCAUGGAGUGACCACAUAAUUACUGCCAAACAAGGACACUUGAGAGUAAGAGGGGCACCACUCACCACGAAACUCCUUUUGGACUGUGUGUGAGCAAGAAUUAGACUUCUAUUGUGUUAGUCACUGAAAUGCUAGAGUUUGUCAGAAUAAUUAAAGUUAACUGACACAUGGAACAUCUUACUGCAGCCUACCUUUUUCUGAAUUGUAAUAUUCAUAAAAACAAAAUUAUUUUAAUCAUCACACCUUUCAAAAUUGUAAAUAAAUUAAAACAUAGAAAGGAGAAAAAUGUCA